UUGUAAAUAUGUGCAUCAUUAUUAGAUAUGAACAGGAAAAGAAAAAAGGAAAUAUACAAAAAUGUUAAUAGCUAUCUUUUGGUUUUAUGUGAUCUUUAUUUUUAAUUUUUCAAUAUUAAGCAUGCUAUACAAUCUGAACUAAAAUUUAAUUUAAAAUACUUAUCAAGAUAAAAUGUAAUUUCUUUUUUCUUCCUAAGGUUGCACAUAGGCAAAGGUGUGCAGUUGGAAUGUAAAGGUGAAGGUGAUGUUUGGGUCAGGUGCCUUAGUGACCACGCGGUCUUUGUACAGAGUUACUACUUAGACAGAGAAGCUGGGCGUGCACCUGGAGAUGCUGUUCAUAAGAUCUACCCAAGUGCAUAUAUAAAGGUCUUUGAUUUGCGUCAGUGUCAUCGACAGAUGCAGCAGCAGGCGGCUACUGCACAAGCUGCAGCAGCUGCCCAGGCAGCAGCCGUGGCAGGAAACAUCCCUGGCCCAGGAUCAGUAGGUGGAAUAGCUCCAGCUAUCAGGUAAAAUUGAACUGUGUGCCAGGUUUCACACUGAUGGGG
rnacentral:lncRNA from 1 species